rnacentral:rRNA from 1 species
AUUGAACGCUGGCGGCAUGCCUUACACAUGCAAGUCGAACGGCAGCACGGGAGCUUGCUCCUGGUGGCGAGUGGCGAACGGGUGAGUAAAGCAUCGGAACGUGCCCUGAAGUGGGGGAUAACGUAGCGAAAGUUACGCUAAUACCGCAUAUUCUGUGAGCAGGAAAGCAGGGGAUCUUCGGACCUUGUGCUUUAGGAGCGGCCGAUGUCGGAUUAGCUAGUUGGUGAGGUAAAGGCUCACCAAGGCGACGAUCCGUAGCGGGUCUGAGAGGAUGAUCCGCCACGCUGGGACUGAGACACGGCCCAGACUCCUACGGGAGGCAGCAGUGGGGAAUUUUGGACAAUGGGCGCAAGCCUGAUCCAGCCAUGCCGCGUGAGUGAAGAAGGCCUUCGGGUUGUAAAGCUCUUUCGGCGGGGAAGAAAUUGCACUCUCUAAUACGGGGUGUAGAUGACGGUACCCGCAUAAGAAGCACCGGCUAACUACGUGCCAGCAGCCGCCGUAAGAC